AGCGAACGCUGGCGGCAGGCCUAACACAUGCAAGUCGAACGAAGUCUUCGGACUUAGUGGCGGACGGGUGAGUAACACGUGGGAACGUACCUUUUGGUUCGGAACAACUCAGGGAAACUUGAGCUAAUACCGAAUGUGCCCUUAGGGGGAAAGAUUUAUCGCCAUUAGAGCGGCCCGCGUUAGAUUAGCUAGUUGGUGAGGUAAAGGCUCACCAAGGCUACGAUCUAUAGCUGGUCUGAGAGGAUGAUCAGCCACACUGGGACUGAGACACGGGCCAGAAUCCUACGGGAGGCAGCAGUGGGGAAUCUUGCGCAAUGGGCGAAAGCCUGACGCAGCCAUGCCGCGUGAAUGAUGAAGGUCUUAGGAUUGUAAAAUUCUUUUAGCAGGGACGAUAAUGACGGUACCUGCAGAAAAAGCCCCGGCUAACUUCGUGCCAGCCGCCGCAGUAAAAC
rnacentral:rRNA from 1 species